AGCUUUGCGCAGUGGCAGUAUCGUAGCCAAUGAGGUUUACCCAAGGCGCAAUUAUUGCUAAUUGAAAAAAAAGAAUCAAGAUUCC
ensembl:snRNA U4 U4 spliceosomal RNA